GCCUGGGCAACAGAGUGAGACGCUGUCUUGAAAAAAAAAAAAAAACACAUACACAACAACCAAAAGACAACAACAACAAAAGUGAGCUCUUCCUAGGCACGGUGGCUCUUGUUUGUAAUCCCCCCAGCACUUUGCGAGGCCAUGGCAAGAAGAUCACUUAAGCCCAGGAGUUCAAGACCAGCCUGAGCAACAUAGGGAGACUCUGUCUCUACUAAAAAUUUGAAAAGAAAAAAAAAACAAAACUGAGCUGUCUCAUUUACAUGAAAUGUUCAAAAUAAGCAAAUCUAUAGAGACAGAAAGUAGAUUCGUGGUUGCCAUGCCAGAUGAGAAAGAAUGACUGCUGACAGGCAGCGACUACUUUUUGGGGUGAUAAAAUGUCCUGGAAUUAGAUCAUUGUGGUGGUUAUGCAACCUUGUGAAUGUACACUUUAAAAUGGGACAUUUUUAUGGUUUCUGGAUUUGAUUUCAAUUUAAAAAAAAAAUUUAAGUGAGCUCUUAUGGAGGGAAGCUAACACUUCCAUUUAACAUCUCCCCAAAUAGUUAUGUUCCAUUCCCGCACCCAGGAUGAUAGACUUGCACUGCUCGAGGAGGACACAUAAAUGACGGUGUGACACUGGCCUGAUGACGCAGCUCAGAUCUCAUUCCAGAUGUUAGAUCCCUGUUCUUAAGACUUAAAGGACCGGGCAUGGUGGCUCACCCCUGCAAUCCCAGCACUUUGGGAGGCCGAGGCAGGU
rnacentral:lncRNA from 10 species